rnacentral:rRNA from 1 species
UACAGAGGGUGCGAGCGUUAAGCGGAAUUACUGGGCGUAAAGCGCGCGUAGGCGGCUUUGCAAGUCGGGUGUGAAAUCCCCAGGCUUAACCUGGGAACUGCAUUCGAGACUGCAUUGCUAGAGUAUGGGAGAGGGAAGUGGAAUUUCCGGUGUAGCGGUGAAAUGCGUAGAUAUCGUGAGGAACACCAGAGGCGAAGGCGGUUACCUGGACAGUUACUGACGCUCAGGCACGAAAGCGUGGGGAGCAAAAGGG